AGUGAACGCUGGCGGUAGGCCUAACACGUGCAAGUCGAACGGCAGCACAGUAAGAGCUUGCUCUUACGGGUGGCGAGUGGCGGACGGGUGAGGAAUACAUCGGAAUCUACUUUUUCGUGGGGGAUAACGUAGGGAAACUUACGCUAAUACCGCAUACGACCUACGGGUGAAAGCGGGGGAUCUUCGGACCUUGCGCGAUUGAAUGAGCCGAUGUCGGAUUAGCUAGUUGGCGGGGUAAAGGCCCACCAAGGCGACGAUCCGUAGCUGGUCUGAGAGGAUGAUCAGCCACACUGGAACUGAGACACGGUCCAGACUCCUACGGGAGGCAGCAGUGGGGAAUAUUGGACAAUGGGCGCAAGCCUGAUCCAGCCAUACCGCGUGGGUGAAGAAGGCCUUCGGGUUGUAAAGCCCUUUUGUUGGGAAAGAAAAGCAGCAGGUUAAUACCCCGCUGUUCUGACGGUACCCAAAGAAUAAGCACCGGCUAACUUCGUG
rnacentral:rRNA from 1 species